rnacentral:rRNA from 1 species
UACGAAGGGGGGCUAGCGUUGCUCGGAAUUACUGGGCGUAAAGGGCGCGUAGGCGGCUUGGUCAGUCCCGUGUGAAAUCCCUCGGCUCAACUGAGGAACUGCACGGGAAACUGCCUGGCUUGAGUUCGGGAGAGGGAAGCGGAAUUCCGGGUGUAGCGGUGAAAUGCGUAGAUAUCCGGAGGAACACCUGCGGUGUAGACGGCUUACUGGACCAUCACUGACGCUGAGGCACGAAAGCGUGGGUAGCAAACAGG